rnacentral:rRNA from 1 species
AUUGCGCUCUAACUGCAGUCGAGCGAGAGCCCGGUUCGCCCGGGGAGCCAGCGGCGCCGGGUGAUAAUGCAUUGGAUCAUCUACCGUUGUGCGUGAAAUAACACACCGAAUUGUGUGCUUAUACCGCACAAUCUGGCGGGUUUUACGAUCUGUCGGCAAACGUGGCCUCUCCGUGGUGGCUGAUGGAUGAUUAUCAACCCGCUUCGCUUUAGGUCUUUGGUAGGGAAAAUGCCUACCGGGGCUAAGAUGGUGAUCUGGUCUGAGGGACUGACACCCACCCUGGAACUGGUACACAGGCCACACUCCUAAAGUUUGCACCAUGGAGGAAUAUUGGAUCCUGCCGGCAACCCUGACGCAACAAUGCCUUCUGCUUGUAGAAGGCCUUCGGAUCGAAAAACCCUGUCAGGCCUAAAGAAUAGCUCUGGGGUUAACACCCUCAGGGUCUGACGGUACCACCUACGGAACCACCGGCUAACUCCGUGCCAGCGUGCGCGCGUUGACCGAAGGUGCUGGCCUUAUUCCGAGUUAUUGCGCUUUCUUGGCCUGCACGCGGCCUAUCAAGUCUUGAGUGAAAAACUGCGGCUCAAACCUGGAAGUGCCUCUGAUACUGGUUGGCUUGAAAUUCCGAGAGGGAAGCGGAAUUCCGGGUGUAUACGUGAAGAACACCGAUAUCCAGAGGAACAUCGUGUGGAUAACACUGACUUCUCUGGAACGAAACUGACGCUGAGCACACAAGAUUAUGUGCACCGAACAGUCAUUACAUACACAUGAUGUCCACGCUGUGUACGAUGAGAAACCAUGUGUAAGCGGAUCUAAUCCCUCUGUUCAGCGCUAACGCAGUAAGCGCGCAAGCCUGAAAAGCACAGCCACUAGACUGAAACUCUAGUGAAUUCGACGG